AUUGAACGCUGGCGGCAGGCUUAACACAUGCAAGUCGAACGGCAACAUAGAGAAGCUUGCUUCUUUGAUGACGAGUGGCGGACGGGUGAGUAAUGCUUGGGAAUCUGGCCUAUGGAGGGGGAUAACUACGGGAAACUGUAGCUAAUACCGCGCAAUAUCGAAAGAUUAAAGUGUGGGACCUUUGGGCCACAUGCCCUAGGAUGAGCCCAAGUGGGAUUAGGUAGUUGGUGAGGUAAAGGCUCACCAAGCCGACGAUCUCUAGCUGGUCUGAGAGGAUGACCAGCCACACUGGAACUGAGACACGGCCCAGACUCCUACGGGAGGCAGCAGUGGGGAAUAUUGCGCAAUGGGGGCAACCCUGACGCAGCCAUGCCGCGUGGAUGAAGAAGGCCUUCGGGUUGUAAAGUUCUUUCGGUAGCGAAGAAGGUGGUUAGUUUAAUAGGCUAGCCAAUUGACGUUAACUACAGAAGAAGCACCGGCUAACUCCGUG
rnacentral:rRNA from 1 species